ensembl:lncRNA
CGAUGCUGCUGUGGUCAGUAUCCUGAUGCUGUGGUGGCGAUGCUGCUGUGGUCAGUAUCCUGAUGCUGGGUAGUGAUGCUGCUGUGGUCAGUAUCCUGAUGCUGGGUAGUGAUGCUGCUGUGGUCAGUAUCCUGAUGCUGGGUGUGAUGCUGCUGUGGUUAGUAUCCUGAUGCUGUGUAGUGAUGCUGCUAUGGUCAGUAUCCUGAUGCUGGGUGGUGAUGCUGCUAUGGUCAGUAUCCUGAUGCUGGGUAGUGAUGCUGCUGUGGUCAGUAUCCUGAUGCUGGGUAGUGAUGCUGCUGUGGUUAGUAUCCUGAUGCUGGGUAGUGAUGCUGCUGUGGUCAGUAUCCUGAUGCUGUGGUAGCGAUGCUGCUGUGGUUAGUAUCCUGAUGCUGGGUGGUGAUGCUGCUAUGGUCAGUAUCCUGAUGCUGGGUAGUGAUGCUGCUGUGGUCAGUAUCCUGAUGCUGGGUGGUGAUGCUGCUGUGGUCAGUAACCUGAUGCUGGGUGGUGAUGCUGCUGUGGUCAGUAUCCUGAUGCUGGGUGGUGAUGCUGCUGUGGUCAGUAUCCUGAUGCUGGGUGGUGAUGCUGCUAUGGUCAGUAUCCUGAUGCUGUGGUAGUGAUGCUGCUGUGGUCAGUAACCUGAUGCUGGGUGGUGAUGCUGCUAUGGUCAGUAUCCUGAUGCUGUGGUAGCGAUGCUGCUGUGGUCAGUAACCUGAUGCUGGGUGGUGAUGCUGCUAUGGUCAGUAUCCUGAUGCUGUGGUAGCGAUGCUGCUGUGGUCAGUAACCUGAUGCUGGGUGGUGAUGCUGCUAUGGUCAGUAUCCUGAUGCUGUGGUAGCGAUGCUGCUGUGGUCAGUAUCCUGAUGCUGGGUGGUGAUGCUGCUGUGGUCAGUAUCCUGAUGCUGUGUAGUGAUGCUGGUCAGUAACAUGUAGUUUUAGUGUGUUGUAAUGUGUUCUGCUGUUGUGGUUAGUGUCAGUGUGUAUAUAUCUGUUCCAGGCUGAAGGAAGAUGUCUCAGAGAGGGAGGUCUCAGAGAGGGAGGUCUCAGAGAGGGAGGCGCCAGAGAGGGAGGCGCCAGAGAGGGAGGCGCCAGAGAGGGAGGAGCCAGAGAGGGAGGAGCCAGAGAGGGAGGAGCCAGGGGGACUACGGGUCAGGAGUUCUCUUCCUCCUCCUGGCUGUACCUCCUCAGCGACGUCAAUGCAUCCUUCACAGAGUGGAACAAGAUGUUCUUUACCUGGGGAGAGGACAGAGAGGAGAGGUUAAACAGGAGGGAGAGACAGAGAGAGAGAGGGAGAGGACAGAGAGGAGAGGUUAAACAGGAGGGAGAGAUAGAGAGAGAGAGA